rnacentral:lncRNA from 1 species
UGAUUAACCGGCCCGAACUACCAUUAACCGAAUUAACUGACCAUUUUAAACCCUUAAUCGUUAACCGAACUGAAAUUUUUUCAAAAAGAAAUUAACUGAACUGAACUUUUUUAGUUAAUUCGGUCGGUUAACCGAAUUAACCGAAAUUUAUAUAUUUUUUUAUUUUUGGUUAAAACAAGUAUAAAACAUAUUUCCAAAAAAUUAACCGAACCGAC